GAUGAACGCUAGCGGCAGGCUUAAUACAUGCAAGUCGAGGGGCAGCAGGGGUGUAGCAAUACACUUGCUGGCGACCGGCAAACGGGUGCGGAACACGUACGCAACUUACCCUGAACUGGGGGAUAGCCCGGGGAAACCCGGAUUAAUACCCCGUAACACUGUGAGGUGGCAUCGCCUUAUAGUUACAGCUCCGGUGGUUCAGGAUGGGCGUGCGGCUGAUUAGGUAGUUGGUUGGGGUAAUGGCCCACCAAGCCUACGAUCAGUAACUGGUGUGAGAGCACGACCAGUCACACGGGCACUGAGACACGGGCCCGACUCCUACGGGAGGCAGCAGUAAGGAAUAUUGGGCAAUGGAGGCAACUCUGACCCAGCCAUGCCGCGUGGAGGAUGAAGGCCCUCUGGGUUGUAAACUUCUUUUACCUGGGACGAAACCUUUCUUUUCUAAGGGAGUUGACGGUACCAGGGGAAUAAGCACCGGCUAACUCCGUGCCAGCCGCCGCGGUAAAAC
rnacentral:rRNA from 1 species